UCCCUGGUGGUCCAGCGGUUAAGAUUCUGCACUGCCACUGCAGGGGGCACGGGUUCAAUCCCUGGUCAGGGAA